GACGAACGCUGGCGGCGUGCCUAAUACAUGCAAGUCGAACGCAGUGGGGACGGGUGAGUAACACGUGUGUAACCUGCCAUCAGAGGGGAUAACACUUGUAAAAAGGUGCUAAACCGAUACUGAUGGAUGGACCCGCGGGGCAUUAGCUAGUUGGUGGGGUAACGGCUCACCAAGGCCACGAUGCAUAGCCGAUCUGAGAGGGUGACCAGCCACACUGGGACUGAGACACGGUCCAGACUCCUACGGGAGGCAGCAGUAGGGAAUCUUGGGCAAUGGACGAAAGUCUGACCGAGCCAUGCCGCGUGAGUGAAGAAGGUCUUCGGGUCGUAAAGCUCUUUUGUUGGGGAAGCGGUAUCUAACGAGAAAGCCACGGCUAACUACGUGCCAGCAGCCGCGGUAAUAC
rnacentral:rRNA from 1 species